AAUAUUGCACAAUGGAGGAAACUCUGAUGCAGCGACGUCGCGUGAGUGAUGAAGGCCCUAGGGUUGUAAAGCUCUUUCACCGGUGUAGAUAAUGACGGUAACCGGAGAAGAAGCCCCGGCUAACUUCGUGCCAGCAGCCGCGGUAAUACGAAGGGGGCUAGCGUUGUUCGGAUUUACUGGUCGUAAAGCGCACGUAGGCGGAUUGGUCAGUUAGGGGUGAAAUCCCAGGGCUUAACCCUGGAACUGCCUUUAAUACUGCCAGGCUUGAGUAUGGAAGAGGUGAGUGGAAUUGCGAGUGUAGAGGUGAAAUUCGUAGAUAUUCGCAGGAACACCAGUGGCGAAGGCGGCUCACUGGUCCAUUACUGACGCUGAGGUGCGAAAGCGUGGGGAGCAAACA
rnacentral:rRNA from 1 species